rnacentral:lncRNA from 12 species
AUGCCCAUUUUAGAGACGAGGAGAUCGAGUCCCAGGGGCUCUCUGAGGGCGGCUCCUUGUGAAACAGGUGUAGUGGCUGCUUCUGCACACCUUCCACGAAUAUCAGUGGACAAGAGGCUGACGUGUGCAGUGUCCCCCCUGGGGUCGCCGGAAGGGGAGAGCAAGCCGCAGGCUGUGGGGGCCGAGUCAGGGCUGGGGCCUGCGACCCGACGCCGGCAGGCAACGCCAGGGGCGCCCCGUGUGUCCACAGAAGGCCGCCCCCCCACCUCCCUCCGCCUCCCCUCAUCCGUGGCCGGGCCCAGCAGCACACGGGUCGGCCUCACGUCCCGGAAGGAGCGUCCAGGACACCGUGGCCGCCGCUUCUGCUGCCUCCUCCGGUGUUGCCCGGCCGGCGCGCAGCCCGUCCCGCCCCGGGGGCAGCCCCCCAGCCACCCCCGCCCCACCGCAGCCUGCCCUGCAGCUCUGACUGUUGGGUGUUGUGCAAGGGGGACCCUGCGUCUCACCUUCGCGCCUGCAGCCCUUCGUUCAGCAGAGGCCUGGCCCUCCCUGCGCGGUCCCCUGGCGCCCAGCAGCCUGCACCCCGGUGUCGAGGCCCAGCCGCCCUUCGCAGAACAUCUGAGCUGUCCCCCGCCUUUCGGGGUGAGGACAAGUGCUGUAGGCCCCCAGGCGCAGGUUGGCGGUGAAGCACGCUUUCCUGCUCCCUCGUCCAUGCGGCCACGUGCAAAGGGCGUGUCAGACUCUGGGAGACGCGGCGGCAGGUGUGUGAGUCCUGGUGGCCCCGUGGCCGCACCCGCACCUGCACGUGGUACUGCCGGCGUUUGGCUCCAGCCGUCGCGGGGGCUGCCCUGGACUCCCCAGGGGCCGCCGGUUGGCCUCCCUCCAAGCGCUGAGUCCGCGUGGACAAACCCCUAA